AGCUCUACCGUUUUCCCUGGCCCGUCUUGGAUCCCCAAAUCCCUAUGGCCUGUAUUCACGUGCCCCUCCCUCACACGCUCCGCCUUCCUCCCUCCUCUCUCCCUCUGCUCGGUCCGGAUCGUUCCUUCUGCGCUGGGUGUAGCCUCUGUAGUGGGGAGCCCAAGCUUACUCAGCACUUGCGCCCUAUAGCAAAAACCUCUCCUCAGACAAAAAACAACAAAGCGCUUUUCUGGCCACUGUCACAUUUUAUCCACGUGGACUUGGCAGUUGCCCAAACUGAGGACCAAGGAGGGCAGGAGGCUCAAACCUCCACUGGAAGGACCAGCAGUUAGCGUAAUGGCUAUGUCGCUGGACUCCCAUGUAGUCGACU